rnacentral:rRNA from 1 species
AAAGACUGACGCUCAGGUGCGAAAGCGUGGGGAGCAAACAGGAUUAGAUACCCUGGUAGUCCACGCCGUAAACGAUGUCGACUUGGGAGGUUGUUCCCUUGAGGAGUGGCUUCCGGAGCUAACGCGUUAAGUCGACCGCCUGGGGAGUACGGCCGCAAGGUUAAAACUCAAAUGAAUUGACGGGGCCCGCACAAGCGGUGGAGCAUGUGGUUUAAUUCGAUGCAACGCGAAGAACCUUACCUACUCUUGACAUCCAGAGAACUUAGCAGAGAUGCUUUGGUGCCUUCGGGAACUCUGAGACAGGUGCUGCAUGGCUGUCGUCAGCUCGUGUUGUGAAAUGUUGGGUUAAGUCCCGCAACGAGCGCAACCCUUAUCCUUUGUUGCCAGCGGUUAGGCCGGGAACUCAAAGGAGACUGCCAGUGAUAAACUGGAGGAAGGUGGGAUGACGUCAAGUCAUCAUGGCCCUUACGAGUAGGGCUACACACGUGCUACAAUGGCGCAUACAAAGAGAAGCGACCUCGCGAGAGCAAGCGGACCUCAUAAAGUGCGUCGUAGUCCGGAUUGGAGUCUGCAACUCGACUCCAUGAAGUCGGAAUCGCUAGUAAUCGUAGAUCAGAAUGCUACGGUGAAUACGUUCCCGGGCCUUGUACACACCGCCCGUCACACCAUGGGAGUGGGUUGCAAAGAAGUAGGUAGCUUAACCUUCGGGAGGGCGCUUACCACUUUGUGAUUCAUGACUGGGGUGAAGUCGUAACAAGGUAACCGUAGGGGAACCUGCGGUUGGAUCACCU